UUUUUUCUUUCUUCUUCUCCCCAAAGCCCCCCAGUACAUAGUUGUAGAUUGUAGUGUGAGUGCCUCUGGUUGUGGCAUGUGGGACGCUGCCUCAGCAUGGCCUGAUGAGCGGUGCCAUGUCCGCACCCAGGAUCCGAACCGGUGAAACCCUGGGCCGCCGAAGGCAGAGCACGUGAACUUGACCACUCGGCCACGGGGCCCAUUCCUACACUGGCUUUUUAGACUCGUCCUUCCCGAACUGCCCGGGCAGCUGGAUCGCAGCGCAUGGCGAAGGCGGGAGGUGCACUUCCCCCGGACCAGCGGGCUCGGGCUCCACAGUGACAGCGUCCAGGCCACAGAUGGGUCUUGCCAGUUGCUCCUCUCUGGGCCUGGCCUGAGCCCUUCGGAUGGUGUCAGCCCCGGGGCCUGGACCCAGGGUUUGAGGGCGAGGCUCCCGGGGCUUCUGCCUCAUGCGGAGGUUAGGUUACAAAGCCUGCAUGAAAGACUCCAAAUUCAUUUAGUCAAUUUACCCUUGAAAAUUCCUUAAAUGAACAGAAUGUAGGGCCCUUGGAAGCUCAAAAUCUAAUAAUUCACUUUGUUCUGUUUUCAUUUUGGCUGUGGCCUUGCUUUCCUUGGAACUGUGAAGACCAAGGUCUCAUUUGAACGAGGUGGGAAUUAGAGGAGGGUCAAGGGUUGACGAGCUCUCUCACACGUUUGAUUCAUCGCAAGUUUACGUGUGCAUGUGACGUGGCUCCUGCGUGUCGAUGUGGUGGGGGACAUCGCGGGCACAGAUACGUUGUGUCACUCAAUCUCACAGUGGCCAUAGGAGGUAAGCAGUAUGACUUCCCACCCACCCUGUAUAGAGGUGGAAACUGAAGCUCAGAGAGGGCCCAUAUGUAGCCUCAAGUCUGGAAAAUGGUCACUUAGUGAGUCCUCUGCCCUGUUGGCUCAUCAGUUGUGCCAGGAUGACUCUGAACCCAGAGCAAGCUCAGCAUAGGCUCAGGCCAGGGCCCCGAUACCCAGGACAUCACAGAAUGCUCUUUGCUCCAGGGUCAGACCUGGGGCUCUGUGAGGCUGAUGGAGUGGGUAAGCGCCAAUGAGGGGGGUGGGAAUCAGGGACAUGUCUCUGAGGGCGUGGCUAUGUGCUUUGUUCCUGUAGAUACUCAACGGGUGAAAGAUGGGGGAUGAUCCGAGCAGAAAGGCAUGUCAGACAGGAGGAAGGGAAGAGGCAAAGUGAGCGGGCUGGGAAGCAGAGCCUGUCUCCUGGAGAUUAGAGAGUGUGGCUGACGGCAAGUGGGUAGGGGGUGCUCUGGGCUAGAGAGCUAGGUAGUGCCAAACUAGGGUGAGCCUUGAGUGCUGCCAUGAGGGGUGAGCUUGUUGGGGGGGAAGGGAGGGCGUGGAAGACAGCCCGGCCCCCUAAAGCCCUGCUCAGGUUGCCCAGAAAGUGUGGCUAUUGGAUCCCAAGGCAGAUGGAAGUCGCCUGUCUUGACUUUGCCUGUUUGAGGCCUCAGGGGAGCAGGUGUUCCAUGUAUAGGAGUCAUGCGUUGAUUCCUAUAGGAUCAGAAACACUGGGCCCAGCCGCUGGAGGCUUCUAUCUCCACCUGAAGCCUCUCUCUGCGUAUCUCAGCAGGCUGGAGCCGUGCAUCCGUCAGUUGCAGGAGACAAAAAAUCCAGCGCAGAGGGAGUUUGCAGACUCUGGGAACUGGCCGUGUGAGCACUGACCAGGCUUCAGGCCUGGCUCUAACAAUCUGGGGUCUGAUCUCUCGCAGUCUUCCCUCUUUGCUCCCUGACGAGUUGGCCUCGCUCUCAGCUAGUCUCUUCCGAUUGAAGGCAAAGUGGUCACUCGCGGCUCCUGAGGUAGCCUCCUCCUCUGUCAACUUACAGCCUCAGUGGAAAAGCAGCCUUUACCACGAGCUCAGCAAGAGGCUCAGGAAGGGUUUUCAUUGGUCCAGCUCGAGUCACACACCUGUCCCUGACCAAUCACGGGGCUGUGUGUGAAUUAAGUGCCCACCCCUGGAGACCCUCAUGGACUGAGAGCCGGGGAGGGGGGUCCCCAAAGAAAAGAGACAUUUGAGUUGUCUCCACCUCUUGGCCACUGUGAAGAAAGUUGCUACAAACACGGGUGUGGAAAUGUCUCCCCAAGACUUGCUUUCAGCUGUUGUGCGUGCAUACCCAGAAGUGGAAUUGCGGGGUCAACGGUGGCCAAGAUAGGUCCUCUUAACAAGAAGGUGUGCUGGGCACACCUCAGCUCCAUCAGUCCUGGCUUCUGGGCCCCAGGAAUCGGAGGAAACCUGCUCCUCUCUAACAGCAGAGACGGGUCCAAGUCCCAAAGGCAAGGCGGGAAAGAUUUCACCCAAACUGAUGAAUCGACGGCUCUGGAUCAGUCAGGUCCCCUCCCUGAUGGGAAUUUGAAAGCGCAGCAUGUCCAAUCACGCUGGCUCCCUGGAAGCAAGCCCGCGCGUGACUCUGCCCUAGGACUUCACAGAUUUUUUCCCUAAAGCAGCUAACUCCUUAUCAGUUCAUAGCAGUCCAAAUUCAGAUUCCUGACAGAAUUUCACUUUAUGGCAAGAUUCUGUAAAAAAUAGAGUCUCGGGCUUUUCUUACACAAAUGUCUCCCCAAUUGCACCGUUAUCACUGUUUCUCAAAGUAUUUGGUAGAGUGUGUCACAUGCAGUAAGUGCAGUAGAACAUUAAUAAAUGUUCACGUUUGUAGCACACUUCUCAGUCUAUCGAGGGAUUUUAAUUAUGUCCUUUAAUUUGUGCUCACAGCCAUCCCAAGAGAGAACCAAUCAGAGAUUAACACGUCCAUUUUAUAAUUCAGGAAACUGAGGCUCAGAGAGGUGAAGAGGCUUGCCCAGGAUCACACAGGAGUAGGGGGCAGAUCUGGGAUACACACUCAGGCUUGCCUUACCCACCAUGAGCAGAAUGGAACAGAAUUUUCCAGCUGAGAUAGAGCUGUCAGACAAAAUACAAGAUACCCAGUUAAAUUUGAAUUUCGGAUAAACAACAACAAAAAUUUAGUAUAAGUAUGUCCCAUAUUGGGUGGACACACUUAUACUAAAAAUUAUUUG
rnacentral:lncRNA from 1 species